GGCGGGCGCUGGGCGGCCGGAGGGGUGGCUGGUGGUCAGAGCGGGGAGGCGUCCCCCCCAGCCCGGGGGCCCUUUCGGGGGCGCGCCCGCCCCGCCCUCCAGGCGGGACUCGUUGGGUCCCUCUGGCGCCCCGUGGGUCCCUUUCCCAGAGCUGCACCCGCCCCCUCUCGGCUCCUGGGCGCCACGGAUAGGAGGGCAAGUCACGCGAGGACCAGCCGCGUGCGGAUCGAGGCGGAGGAGUCCGGGGCCCUGCACACGCUCCUGCCGAGGCUCUGUCGUUGGCGGGGCGCUCUCGGGGCCGCUCUCCCGGCUUCGACACUGCUGCGGGGCAGACCGUGCCCACAGACGGCUUGGGUGCAUGUUUGCCCCUGGAUCUCAGACCAGCUAGAAAUCAGUCUCUCCCUAAGACCCAGGCUUCUGAGGGCGAGCGAGGUUUCCAGGGACGGUGCAUACCCAAAACUUCGUGUUAGGAGAGGCCUGGGCCAGAGUGUGAAGGCGCUGCAGUGAAGUCGCACAGCAGAUGGCUUGUAUCAUCCUCAGUUCUGGCUCCCGCCUGAUGCUGAAGACAGCCUCCUCCCAGAAGCCACUUCCAGUCGAGCCUUCGGAGAGUGACGCUGGCCUGAAUCCAAACCAGACCCAUCAUCGAGAAGAAAGCAGGCUCUAGGUCUCGUCCAGGUGGGGAAUGUACCGUCAUUUCACCUGUUGUCUCUGUGUGGGAGAGCAGCGGACAAGAGCCCAAGGAUCCCCUUUGACUUAAAGGGGAUUCAAAGAGUUUAUAUCUCAAAACGCAGGCCGCUUGGAAUGUUCGCAGCUAGAAGGCCGCCCUCUUGGUUGAGACAGCCUGUCAGGACACGGGUAAGCAGCCCAGGCCAGGAGAGGGCUUCUCAGGACGGUUUGAGGGCUCAGAACACGUGCUUCCUUCGGCGCUCAGGAGAAACUGCUUUCUCCUGACCUUAUGGGAUUUCUUCGGCCAGCAGUUAUUUAAAGAGCCUGAAGUUUGUCAAGGCUCUGUCCUGGAAUUCCAUCAUUUGGCACUGAGAGGCAGAUCAAGGAAGCUCAGAACUAAAACAACCAAAAAAAAAAAAAUUUUGAUGGGGUUCUUAACCAAAGAAACAAGAACCAUGCAGGUGGAGUUUCUACAAGCACCUGGGCCCGACUGACUCCUGUCUGAGGCUGUGGUGAAACUGGAAUGCUUUUAUUUAUUUAUUUAUUUGUCUUCUUGCCUUUUCUAGGGCCGCUCCCGUGGCAUAUGGAGGUGCCCAGGCUAGGGGUCUAAUCGGAGCUCUGCAGUUCGGAUUGGACCCCCAGCCUGGGAACCUCCAUGUGCCAAGGGUGCGGCCCUAAAAGGCAAAAAAAAAAAAAAUUUGCUCUAACCAUCUCCUGACAAGAGCCUGUAGGCCGUUUCCCGUUUAGGUCGUUAUAAACAAUGCAGCAUCUCCUCCACAUUUAGGGCCAACGGGGUGGGUCUCCAGACGUGAACUGCAGGGAGAGAGCGUUCUGGCAAAUUCUGCUGCCUAAGUGCCCCAGCAGUGCACAGACAGCAGGUGAGGUCUCAUCUCGCCGGGCUGGUAGAGGAGAAGCAGCUUCUGAUGUGACACCUUCGAUUCCUAAAGAGGAAGCGGACGGCCAGGUGCUCAGUCUCUUGGGCCAGAGACGAGGGACCCCGGGCCAGUCCUGCUCCUCGUGCUUCGCGUUCCCCCGGGGGGACGCUGACAGUGCUCGCCUGUGACUGUGACGUCCUCAGCGCGGCGCUGGCCCCAGGGGUCCGCCACUGUCCUCUGGUCAUGUGUCAGUGUCCUCAGCGAGGGGACGUUUGCCUCCCGGCGUGAGAGGGCGGCGCCGGCUGGCGGCCUCCGUGCUUCUCUGAGGAAAGCGAAAUCAACCCGGAAGACAACGGAAAAGUGAUUUUUUUAACAGGAGACAUGAGGAAAAUGACACGGCCAAACUAAAACCACUUCAUGAGCUUCUUCUUUUGCUCUUUAAUGGCCACACCCACUGCACAUGGAGCUCCCGGGCCGGCAGUGGCAUCCAGGCCACGGCUGCUGACCUGCGCUCGUGGCGUUUUUGCCUCGUGGCGUUUUGGUCAAGACGGGAGGGCUCACUUCCUGCUUCUUCCGAGUUAACCAUCAUGACGCCACACCAUCGCCAAGCUCUGAAGCCGAGUCUUUCAGAUUCAUCGGAUUUGAUGGGUUGUUUUGGGGGGUUUGUUUGUGUUUGUUUUGCUCUUGCUAUUCAAGUGAAACUCAAAUUCCAGGAACAAGAAAACCUGUUACCUGAGUCAAAGGAGAAAACAUAAUAAAAGUUAUGAAACACU
rnacentral:lncRNA from 1 species